CCAAAACUAGCCACUUGUCAUUUUCCAAUUGGUUCUUAAUGUGUUAGAAUUUUAUAAGAACCAAUUAGAAAAUAACAAGUUGCUAAUUUUGG
rfam:Prunus persica cultivar Lovell chromosome G1, whole genome shotgun sequence.